UCUGCUGUAAAGUAUUCGUUUUAUCCAGGGACUGGCUGGACAAUGGAGCUCUCCCUGAUACUUAUGGACAGCUGUCGUCAUUCACCGUGCUUGAUUUACUGCAAAUAUAUUCAGCAUUUGACUGAUUAAAUAGACCUUCGGCAACCUUGAGGGUCACUGUGUAGAGUAUGUACAUAGAAAAUGCAUCAGCCCAUUGUACCCUGGCAGCUAAUGAGAUUGGUCGUUAAGUAAAUGACACAAAGCCCACAAAAAAAGCUUAGCAGCUCACUAGAGUAUCACAGAGUGUCCCUGCACACCACACAACGACACAAACACUGGACUACCCUGGCCCACCCCUGCUUUAUUCUACAUCACUGCUUCCCUGGUGUCAGCAUGAGAGCAGAACAAAGGCAGGAGGUGCGGAGCCCUCAAUUUUGUGAGAUUCCUUGAAAGAUUGUGAAAAGUCCAUUUUACGUGGCUGUGUGCUCAUACCAAGUCUAAGGAAACUGGACCUGAGAGUGAUGUUUGGAGUUUGAAUUAACACCCAAGUUCUGAGAGGAGGCUGCUGGGCAUUGCAUCGGACCAGUCCCACUGGUAAGUGAACUCCAAACGUAGCAGUUGUCUCACAGGGCUUCCAGCAUGAUGACGUUUCAUAUUCGAUUUCCUUGCCCUUUCAUCAAAGUUUUCACUUUGAGUUUAGUCCGGAGGAUUUUUUUUAAUAUAGAAUUUGUUUCUGAGUUGUAAGUAAAUCUAUGGUUCUCUGAUUUAAGGACACAAUUGACAGUUGCAUCUUAGGUCACCUCACCACCACCACCACCAAUAAAAUAUAAUCUGAUAUAGCUCUAAAAAAGUAA
rnacentral:lncRNA from 1 species